GGGCUACUGCUCUUCUCGUGACAGGGUCCGAUUUCCAGUGGCCUAUACCGACUCCGAGGGAGCCGGCUCUGGUCGGGUCCUGGCCCGAUCACCUGGUGCCCACCUGUUCACACAGGUCCUCGGGAAACGACAACCCGCACGGCCGCUGCGGUUGCCCG
rnacentral:other from 1 species